AAAACGACUCUCGGCAACGGAUAUCUCGGCUCUCGCAUCGAUGAAGAACGUAGCGAAAUGCGAUACUUGGUGUGAAUUGCAGAAUCCCGUGAACCAUCGAGUCUUUGAACGCAAGUUGCGCCCCAAGCCGUUAGGCCGAGGGCACACCUGCCUGGGUGUCAC
rnacentral:rRNA from 1 species